rnacentral:rRNA from 1 species
UUUAUGGAGAGUUUGAUCCUGGCUCAGGAUGAACGCUGGCGGCGUGCCUAAUACAUGCAAGUCGAGCGAACUGACGAGGAGCUUGCUCCUUUGACGUUAGCGGCGGACGGGUGAGUAACACGUGGGUAACCUACCUAUAAGACUGGAAUAACUCCGGGAAACCGGGGCUAAUGCCGGAUAACAUAUCGAACCGCAUGGUUCGAUAGUGAAAGACGGUUUUGCUGUCACUUAUAGAUGGACCCGCGCCGUAUUAGCUAGUUGGUGAGGUAACGGCUCACCAAGGCAACGAUACGUAGCCGACCUGAGAGGGUGAUCGGCCACACUGGAACUGAGACACGGUCCAGACUCCUACGGGAGGCAGCAGUAGGGAAUCUUCCGCAAUGGGCGAAAGCCUGACGGAGCAACGCCGCGU